CUUUUUGAUGGGUGCCUGAUACUCCAUAAGUCUGCUGCCCACUGGCCCCUCUGGGCUCUCGGUCAUUUUCUGCUCAGAAUCAUCCCAACUGUAUGAGGCCUUCUUGGCACCUGCAGGGCUUCCCUCCGGGGGCCCAGGCCCCUCUGUGGACUUGCCAGUUGGUUCAAGAAUUGAGUGGAGGAAGAUCUCUCAGGUUCUGGCCUCCCACCUGCGCUGUGUUGCCGUGGGACUGAUCCUUCCCUGGAGCCACCCUUACCUGCAUCGAUCCCAACCUGAGCUGCCAUCAGAUAACCCCCCAUCCACGGGCCUGGGGUCACACAGACUUGGGGUCCUGGUCCAGGUUCCCCUCACGACUGCGUGAACUUAGUUUACGUUGGGACUGAGUGCCUGUGGCUGGCCUGUGCUGGAGUCAGCAAACAGCAAGGAUGAGGACGAGGACCCGGGCCUCUGCCAGGUGUGCGCCUGGGAGGAGAAAUAGCCAGCUGUGGAGGGGGGGGCCAGACAAGCUCCCCAAGGGCCCCAGUCCCCCUGUGGCCAGCCAGUCCGUGCAGGUUCCCCAGACUCUGAACACAAGUGGAGAGCAGAGAGGAGGGCUGAGGCCCCAUUGCCCACAGCCGACAACAGGCAGGUUUCCAACCUCUGAAUUCAGAUCCUAGGAUAACUCGGUUUCAGUGAGGAAGCUGAUGAAAGGGCAGAGGCAGAGGAGGGAGAGGAAAGAUGGAGGUGAGGGGGAGGGAAGUGUCAAUGCACCUGCUUUACUGGAACGAGACUUCAGAUUCCACGCACCACUUGCACGCGGGAGAAACUAUGUC
rnacentral:lncRNA from 1 species